GGGCUGUCAGUCCGCGGGGCGGCCGGCCGCACUUCCGCCUCGGUGUCAGUGGGUCGCGCGGGGCGGGGCGGGCAGCGAGACUAGGCGGCCGCCGGACGGACCGCGGUCCAGAUCUGCACCACCUAUUGGAUUUUACCCCACAAAGCUCCCCGUGUGAAGCACCUGACACCGUCAAUGUAGACCAGGCAAUGAUUCAGUAGGAGACUGCAGAUCGGGGCAGGGCUCCUGGCUGCCGAGGAUGAACGGGGACGAGGAGUUCUUU